rnacentral:misc_RNA from 1 species
AACGCACAUUGCGCCCUCUGGUAUUCCGGGGGGCAUGCCUGUUCGAGCGUCAUUACAACCCUCAAGCUCAGCUUGGUAUUGGGUGUCACCGGUACCCGGUGCACCUUAAAAUCAGUGGCGGUGCCAUUCGGCUUCAAGCGUAGUAAUAACUUCUCGCUUCUGGAGUUUGAGUGUGCUCUUGCCAGCAACCCCCAAUUUUUUAAAGGUUGACCUCGGAUCAGGUAGGGAUACCCGCUGAACUUAA